rnacentral:rRNA from 1 species
GACGAACGCUGGAGGCGUGCCUAAUACAUGCAAGUCGACCUUAGUGGCGAACGGGUGAGUAACACGUGGGUAACAUGCCCAUCAGAAGGGGAUAACACUUGGAAACAGGUGCUAAUACCGGAUACUGAUGGAUGGACCCGCGGGGCAGUAGCGAGAUGGUGAGGUAACGCCUCACCAAGGCCACGAUGCAUAGCCGACCUGAUCUGGUGAUCGGCCACUUUGUGACUGAGACACGGCCCAAACUCCUACGGGAGUCAGCAGUAGUGAAUCUUCGGCAAUGGACGAAAGUCUGACCGCGCAACGCCGCGUGAGUGAAGAAGGUUUUCGGAUCGUAAAACUCUGUUGUUAGAGAAGCGGUAUCUAACCAGAAAGCCACGGCUAACUACGUGCCAGCAGCCGCGGUAAUAC